CGUAGGUAACCUGCCUGGUAGCGGGGGAUAACUAUUGGGAACGAUAGCUAAUACCGCAUAACAUUGACUAUUGCAUGAUAGUCAAUUGAAAGGUGCAAAUGCACCACUACCAGAUGGACCUGCGUUGUAUUAGCUAGUUGGUGGGGUAACGGCUCACCAAGGCGACGAUACAUAGCCGACCUGAGAGGGUGAUCGGCCACACUGGGACUGAGACACGGCCCAG
rnacentral:rRNA from 1 species